CGCAAAAAUUUCCUCCCUCGCUCGCGUCGCUUCUUUGCUCUGCCCACCGCCACGUCGUUGCUCUGCCCACCGCCGCGUUGUUGCUCUGUCCACAGCCACCGGCGACGCCGCCUCUCUGAGCGACCCUCCCCCUGCCCAAACCAAGAUUGCACAAUUUGAAAAGGUGCAUCACUUUUUCAACUGUGGGGUAAGAUGGUGCUUUUAAUUUCUGGGACAAAGACAAUAAACAGAGACUCAAGUUGUGUCAAGAAGUGCUGCUGCAAGAUGGGUAGAGGAAAGAUUGAGAUCAAGAUGAUCGAGACCGUACACGACCAAUCGUCAAGUCACCUUCUGCAAGUGGAGAAAUGAACUCUUGAAGAAAGGUGGUUUUGAUGUGUUGUACAGUGGAGGAAAAGCUAGAUUGGUGCUAAAAGCAUGCACACUGGAGGAAACAAGAAAAUGAGACUACUUAGAUUAGAAUCUUGGAUUUUGGAAUAUUGGAUUUUGUAAUGAAUAUUAUGAGACUACUUAGGUCGUAAUAAGCUGCUUUGUAAUGUUGUAUUCAAUUGGAAUGAAUAUUAUGACUCAAUAUUUUACUAGAUGACUUAAUCUAAGGAUGAUUAUUUGAUGGCAGUGUAAAUGGUUUUGUGUUCAAUUGUGGAUGGAUUUUGUGUAUAUAAUAGUUGUGGAGACUGUGUCUUGUGAAGAUGUAUAGCUUGU